AUUGAACGCUGGCGGCAUGCUUUACACAUGCAAGUCGAACGGCAGCGCGGGCUUCGGCCUGGCGGCGAGUGGCGAACGGGUGAGUAAUGCAUCGGAACGUGCCCAGUAGUGGGGGAUAGCCCGGCGAAAGCCGGAUUAAUACCGCAUACGACCUGAGGGUGAAAGCGGGGGACCGAAAGGCCUCGCGCUAUUGGAGCGGCCGAUGUCGGAUUAGCUAGUUGGUGGGGUAAAGGCUUACCAAGGCGACGAUCCGUAGCUGGUCUGAGAGGACGACCAGCCACACUGGGACUGAGACACGGCCCAGACUCCUACGGGAGGCAGCAGUGGGGAAUUUUGGACAAUGGGGGCAACCCUGACCCAGCCAUGCCGCGUGCGGGAAGAAGGCCUUCGGGUUGUAAACCGCUUUUGUUCGGGAAGAAAUCCUCUGGGCUAAUACCCCGGGGGAUGACGGUACCGGAAGAAUAAGCACCGGCUAACUACGUG
rnacentral:rRNA from 1 species